AGCUGGGCGAGCCUGAUCCAGCCAUGCCGCGUGUGUGAAGAAGGUCUUCGGAUUGUAAAGCACUUUAAGUUGGGAGGAAGGGCAGUAAGCUAAUACCUUGCUGUUUUGACGUUACCGACAGAAUAAGCACCGGCUAACUCUGUGCCAGCAGCCGCGGUAAUAA
rnacentral:rRNA from 1 species